GGAUUAGAUACCCUGGUAGUCCCAGCAGUAAACGGUGUCCAUCAGGUGUUGGCGGAUUCGACCCCGUCAGCGCCGAACCUAACGGAUUAAAUGGACCGCCUGAGGAGUACGGCCGCAAGGCUAAAACUCAAAGAAAUUGACGGGGGCCCGCACAAGCGGUGGAGUAUGUGGCUUAAUUCGAUGCAACGCGAAGAACCUUACCUGGCCUUGACAUGUAACGUUCAUCUGGUGAAAGCCAGUGUCCCGCAAGGGAGAGUUACACAGGUGCUGCAUGGCUGUCGUCAGCUCGUGCCG
rnacentral:rRNA from 1 species